rnacentral:misc_RNA from 1 species
CUUGUAGUCACCCUUUUUCCACUUGUCACCCGUGACACACCGAUCACUCUUACACAACCUCCUCAAUACCGCCAGCAUCAAACCAAUAGCCAAGUCGGCGACGUCAUCGGUCAGAACAUCAGGCGUGUUUGUGGCCGUAUCCCGUUCUCCUUACAUUUGGGCAAGUCAACCUUGUCGAGCCCCACGCUGUAACUGGAGACGAUCUCUAGCUUCGGCAAUUGGUCGAUCAGU